rnacentral:lncRNA from 1 species
UAUGAAGCCUCUACUGAUAAACUGACGCACUGCUCAGGACAUGAGAUUUCCUGGCCAGUUCUCUAAGUAACAAAGAAAUAACUAAAUAAAGAUGACUCUAAGGAAUAUUCCACGAACAAAAGUGGAGCUCACCAAUAGCACUGGAAGAGAAGGAAGUCGUAACUCGUAGCCUGCUCGCCUGCAAAUCCGGUUACUACGUUGUACCACAGACCAACGUAGGUUCCCAAAAGAGAAUGUCAGUACCAUCCAUUGUACUCAGUGAGUCUCAACAACAGGGGGCGAAACUUUAAUAACAUAUACAUUAUGAGCAAAGGUUCUAAAUGCAUGUAAAACAUAAAGCUUAUAAGAAUAAUUCUAAAAUAAUUGCAUAAUAGCAGUUCAUGAAUAUUCUAAAAGAAAUUCUUUUCUUUUUCUUACUUAUAAAAAAAAUACUUCACUUUAUACUUUGGGAGUUCCAACUAUCCUGACUUAAUUCUGUCUCAGUCACCGUGUGAUCAGCACAGGUUCGAUCCCAACCUGAUCGAAUAGGCCCAAUCCACAAGGUGUCACUCGCUUCAUGGUUCUCAGCGCUCAUGUCUCAUACCUUAGCAUGACUAAGUAAGUUCUCAGCAAUGAGACCCUCAGCUCGUGUGCUCCCUACUUUGGCAUAAGUAGUUUCAGGAAGUCAACGUCUUGGUCAGGACCCUAGGCCUGGACGAUGACCCCUUCUCAGAAUAAAAGGUACUCCAAAAAAAAUCUUUUCUUUCUAAAACUUCUUCUUGUGACUUUUCAAGUCUAAAUCAUUUAUACAUACUCAUACUGGUAUCCUUAAAUGUAAAGCAUGACAUAAGAAUGAAAUAAACAUUCAAAAGUAUUUAUAAAGGUUCUUGAUCCUUCAUGAAUUUUCAACAUGAAAAUGACAUAUAAGAAUAACAUAAAAAUCUGAAAUUUAUGCAUAUAUAUCCAAAUAAUCAUCUAAACUUUAGCUAGAAAAUAAUUCUAAGCUAAUAGGUACUUAUUACUCCCAUUACGUAUAUAUUAACUCUUUUAUGCAAUUCAUCAAACACCUUGUGUGCGUGUUUUUUUGUGAGUUAAACCAUUUUAGUAGAGAGUUAUAUCAACUCACCUCAAUACUCCUUGAGCCAAUACGUAGACCCCUGUCCGAUUUAUACCUGUCAAACAAUUGAUUCUACAACAACUAGUGCAUUUUAAUUAAUUUCAAAGUUUCACACUUAAACAUGGGAUUUACUGUUGAUACAGAGAAAGAAGGGAAUUAACUAUUCAAUUCUUAUCUAUUACUACUGUAGGGUAAUUGAGAAUAGAGAAUUUUAUAUACCUUAAUUCAAGAAUAAGUGAGUUAUGAAGAACCCUAGAAUUUUUCGAGCAAUUUUCUGGCUACCUCUG